GCUACCUGCAGUCGAGCGGCAACGCCCCUUUCGGGCUGCCGAGAGGGGAAAAGGGGAGAGUAAUGUGUGGAAAUGGCCCUGAAUCGGGGAAAACCAGGCAAAAGGGGGCUUAAAACGGAAAAGACCCUUAGGCGGAAGGGGGGGGAUCCUUCGGGGCCUCUCCCUAUUGGAGCGGCCGAUGUCGGAUUAGCUAGUUGGUGGGGUAAGGGCCUACCAAGGGAACGAUCCGUAUCUGGUUUGAAAGGACGACCAGCCCCACUGGGACUGAGACACGGCCCCCACUCCUACGCGAGAGGCAAGUGGGGAAUUUAUUGCAAUGGGGGAAACCCUGAUCCACCCAUCCCGCGUGUGCGAUAAAAAGGCCUUCAUUGUGUAGCACUUUUUUACCACUCAGAAGUAGGCCUGGUUUUACCUGGGCUGAAUGACGGGCCUGCAAAAUACCGGCCGGCUAACUGCCAUGCC
rnacentral:rRNA from 1 species